UGGCUCAGGACGAACGCUGGCGGCGUGCCUAAUACAUGCAGUCGAGCGAGCGAAACUAACAGAUUUACUUCGGUAAUGACGUUAGGAAAGCGAGCGGCGGAUGGGUGAGUAACACGUGGGGAACCUGCCCCAUAGUCUGGGAUACCACUUGGAAACAGGUGCUAAUACCGGAUAAGAAAGCAGAUCGCAUGAUCAGCUUUUAAAAGGCGGCGUAAGCUGUCGCUAUGGGAUGGCCCCGCGGUGCAUUAGCUAGUUGGUAAGGUAAAGGCUUACCAAGGCGAUGAUGCAUAGCCGAGUUGAGAGACUGAUCGGCCACAUUGGGACUGAGACACGGCCCAAACUCCUACGGGAGGCAGCAGUAGGGAAUCUUCCACAAUGGACGCAAGUCUGAUGGAGCAACGCCGCGUGAGUGAAGAAGGUUUUCGGAUCGUAAAGCUCUGUUGUUGGUGAAGAAGGAUAGAGGUAGUAACUGGCCUUUAUUUGACGGUAAUCAACCAGAAAGUCACGGCUAACUACGUGCCAGCAGCCGCGGUAAUACGUAGGUGGCAAGCGUUGUCCGGAUUUAUUGGGCGUAAAGCGAGCGCAGGCGGAAGAAUAAGUCUGAUGUGAAAGCCCUCGGCUUAACCGAGGAACUGCAUCGGAAACUGUUUUUCUUGAGUGCAGAAGAGGAGAGUGGAACUCCAUGUGUAGCGGUGGAAUGCGUAGAUAUAUGGAAGAACACCAGUGGCGAAGGCGGCUCUCUGGUCUGCAACUGACGCUGAGGCUCGAAAGCAUGGGUAGUGAACAGGAUUAGAUACCCUGGUAGUCCAUGCCGUAAACGACUGAGUGCUAAGUGUUGGGAGGUUCCCGCCUCUCAGUGCUGCAGCUAACGCAUUAAGCACUCCGCCUGGGGAGUACGACCGCAAGGUUG
rnacentral:rRNA from 1 species